AUGGAAGUGAAAUGUUACAAGAAUAAUGAUUAUAAUGGUGGAGGUUAUGGAGGUUAUGGUUAUUUUCAUAAUGGAGGAAAGUAAUGUAGUAACUUCUUGGUGUGAUGGACAUCCAUACUAUAUUAUUUUAUAACAGUACAACUUAUUUUUAAAACCUUCCAAUUAUAAAAUUAUUAUUAUUAUACUUUUUAUGUAGUUUAUGUUACUUUGUUAAAUUUUAUUUCAG
rnacentral:lncRNA from 1 species